CAGAGACUGCGAGCGUUAUUCGGAUUCACUGGGCGUAAAGGGUGCGCAGGUGGCCGUGUGUGUGAGGCGUGAAAGCCCGGGGCUUAACCCCGGAAUUGCACCUCAAACUACAUGGCUAGAGCAUUGGAGAGGGUAGCGGAAUUCACGGUGUAGCAGUGAAAUGCGUAGAUAUCGUGAAGAACACCAGAGGCGAAGGCGGUUACCUGGACAAUUGCUGACACUCAGGCACGAGAGCGUGGGGAGCAAAAGGGAUUAGAUACCCCUGUAGUCCACGCCCUAAACGGUGCACACUAGGUCUUGGCGGAUUCGACCCCACCAGGGCCCAAGCUAACGCGUUAAGUGUGCCGCCUGAGGACUACGGCCGCAAGGCUA
rnacentral:rRNA from 1 species